rnacentral:lncRNA from 1 species
GAACAGGUCACUCCCGAGAUGUGACCCCAUUAUUUUGGCUCCAGAGCAGCUUUACGGACCUCCCGAAGGAGAAGGCAGAUGGGACGGAGCAGGUGGAGAGACGAGAGCUUGGAUUCGUCCAGCCUUCUGGAGUGACAGAUGGCAUGAGAGAGUCCUUCACCGUAUAUGAAAGCCAGGGGGCAGUGCCAAACACGUGGCACCAGGAGAUGGAAGAUGUCAUCAGGCUGGCCCAGAAGGAGGAGGAGAUGAAGGUAGGGCAUGCAACAUCUCUGUGGGGGUGGGGGUGGGCAUGGGCGCUGGCGCAGGCUCCAGGGUGGGAGCUGAUCACCCUCCCUUCAGGUGAAUCUGCUGGAGCUGCAAGAGCUGGUGUUGCCCCUUGUGGGCAACCAUGAGGGGCAUGGCAAAUUCCUCACCGCUGCCCAGAACCCUGCUGAUGAGCCCACUCCAGGGCCCCCAGCCCCCCAGGAACUGGGGGCUGCCGGUGAGCAGGAUGAUUUUUAUGAAGUGAGCCUGGACAACAAUGUGGAGCCUGCACCAGGAGCGGCCAGGGAGGGUUCUCCCCAUGACAACCCCACUGCACAGCAGAUCGUGCAGCUGUCUCCUGUAAUGCAGGACACCUAGGAGCACCCAGGCUUGCCCAGCAAACCCUGCGUGCCAUUCUUUUACCAGGCAGCCGAGAACAGGGAGAUAAACAUCAUCAUCUUCUAAGAGCUGGUCAAGAAAUUUAAAACAACAACAACAACAAAAAGUUACAGGGUUCAUCUCCUACACAAUUCAUUUACUCCAUUUGAAUGCUAGAGCCACUCACAUUUAUUUGUGUUUCUAAUUUACCGUUUAAAUUUAUUUGUAAAAAGUUAAGGGAGAGUUGGUCUUUCCCUGAUGUUCUUUCUGGCAUCCUUUAGCAUUUUUAUUUUUUACUUGAUAAUUGUAGGUCAUUAGCACGCAUAUCGAGUUUGCCCUUAGGUGGUGGGAAUUCAUACACACAAAGACCCACUAUUUGCACAAAACUAUUCUUGCUGGUUUGGAACAGGCUGCCAUGCUUUUUAAAUGUUAUUGCAGCACAUAUAUUCAUUACAGAAUUCAGAUAAAAUGUGCUUAUGUUCUGCUAUUACGUUUGAUUGAAUCCUAACCACAGUGAGCUCUUCAUUAGCUCAAUAUGUGGUUUGCCCUCAAGUGCGCACUGUUUAUUACUUUGUAAUAUGCCACUGUGAGUACUGACAUUUAGAGUUGUUUAAAGGCCGAGAACUGGAAACAGCCUUUCCCCUAUUUUCUGUGUAUUGGGGAUGGGAGUCAUAACAUUUUGGGGAGCUUUUUAAAUCUCACAGAAGAGGAAAGUGGCCUGCUCUGGCAGGUGUGUGCAGGAUACAGUGUGUUUCAUUUGUUCUGGUGCCAAGAAUGAGCACUGUACUAUGGUAGUUCCCUUAGGAUUUGUGUGUGCUCUGGGCUUAUGAAGAUAUUGCAUCAUGAGCUGCAGCAGUUGUACCCUUUCUCGAUGACCUAAAAAGGGAUUAUUUCUGAGGAAUGAAAGGCUCCCAUCAUUGACUGUGGAUGUGGAAAACCUUUUCUAGCGUAGAGCAUUUAUAUCUACAAUACAUUUUAAAGUCAGAGUUCAUGUUACCUGUUUUAAUCACAUGAGUAUAUGUCCCAGUACACAAAAGGGCACCGGUUGGCAUUCUUCUUAAGGUAUUUAGUGAAGAUCAUAAGAAAUCCUUUAAGAGUUUAAAUGUCCCUGGAAGAGGCAUACGGGCGCUAGUCAAGAAUGAAUUCGAGUGAAGGAAAGCUGUGUGACACCUGGCCUUCCUCUAUGUUCAUGGAGCUUCUUUGAGGCUAGAAGAUUGAUUUUAUCAUCUAGACCUCUCUGGCUAAUACCUAUUCUUCA